AUAUUUGAAAAAAACAACAACAUGUUUUUGACCACUACCUCCCAUAUAAAUAUAAACGCACGUGUACGUUUACAGUAUUACAGUGGCAUUUACAUGGGUGUGUUUUUCUGUUUCUUAGUUAACUAAAGCAGCAGCUGGAGGUGGAAAUGCACCCGAGGACGUUCACCGUGGAUAUGCAGCCAUGACAUUUGCUCGUGUGCAGGUGCUUCGGGAUUAGGUCGUCUGCAGACCCCCCUCGCCCCCCCUCUCCUCGCGGGCCUGCAAGAAAAACGGGGAAUAUUUUACGGGCAUCAUUUCAAGCUGCACUGAUCGCGUAGCCAAGGACGAUCGUGAACACCCGAGGUGGCACCGGAGGAUUGGCGCACGUCGGCGGCUCCUCCGUGGCCAGCCUCCAUCCCGCGUGUCCCAGGCGAGCGCCGGCUCUCGCCGCCAGUGUGAGUGCCAAGCCCCCGUCUCUGCGCAGUGCCCUCUGAUGCAAUCCAUUCCCCUUAUCCUCGACCGUCCUCGUGGCCUUUAUGGUAGUAACAAGUACAAAUGCCCUUCAGUGUUUGAAACAAUAAAUAUAAAUGCGCUCUAAACAUCGCCUUCGGUGCCAUGUUCCUUCCAAAGGGUUUGGUGGCGUGCAGAACCUCUCUCCGCAUUCCUCUGUCCUUCCAGUCAUAUCAUCAUCAACAGCCAUGGUCAAUCCACUGCUGGAUGAAGGCCCCCGCAAGCCGCCACCAUCACCUCUCGCGAUCCCUGCAAUGCAGCAGUCCAUCCGGCACCUACUGCACACGAGCGGAUAUCUCCGCCAGUCUCGCAGCGUUGGUCAUCACCAAUCUCUGUCCUUUUGUUUACGUCAUCUGUCCAUCGCCUUCUUGAUCUAGCUCCAGACCUCUGACCAUGUGUACACCCUUCCCGUGUGCUCUGGACUUUUUUCAGAAAACUUCCUGGUAUGCACAUGGAAUUGUCCAUAAAAAUACUUUUACAAAAAUGAAUACAGUACUUGUUGUUUUGAAUUUUUAAAAAGAGCAUGAUUUCUGUACAUGCGUUUUUAAAUAAAGUGGUUAGCGCCCUGUCCUACGAACUCGGCGACCAG